rnacentral:rRNA from 1 species
UACGUAGGGUGCAAGCGUUAAUCGGAAUUACUGGGCGUAAAGCGUGCGCAGGCGGCUUUGCAAGACAGAUGUGAAAUCCCCGGGCUCAACCUGGGAACUGCAUUUGUGACUGCAUGGCUAGAGUGCGGCAGAGGGGGAUGGAAUUCCGCGUGUAGCAGUGAAAUGCGUAGAUAUGCGGAGGAACACCGAUGGCGAAGGCAGUCCCCUGGGCCUGCACUGACGCUCAUGCACGAAAGCGUGGGGAGCAAACAGG